AUUGAACGCUGGCGGAAUGCUUUACACAUGCAAGUCGAACGGCAGCACGGACUUCGGUCUGGUGGCGAGUGGCGAACAGGUGAGUAAUGUAUCGGAACGUGCCCAGUCGUGGGGGAUAACGUAGUGAAAAUUACGCUAAUACCGCAUACGAUCUAUGGAUGAAAGCGGGGGAUCGCAAGACCUCGCGCGAUUGGAGCGGCCGAUAUCAGAUUAGGUAGUUGGUGGGGUAAAGGCCCACCAAGCCAACGAUCUGUAGCUGGUCUGAGAGGACGACCAGCCACACUGGAACUGAGACACGGUCCAGACUCCUACGGGAGGCAGCAGUGGGGAAUUUUGGACAAUGGGCGAAAGCCUGAUCCAGCCAUUCCGCGUGCAGGAUGAAGGCCCUCGGGUUGUAAACUGCUUUUGUACAGAACGAAAAGGUUUCUACUAAUACUAGGAGCUCAUGACGGUACUGUAAGAAUAAGCACCGGCUAACUCUGUGCCAGCCGCCGCAGUAA
rnacentral:rRNA from 1 species